UACGUAGGGUGCAAGCGUUAAUCGGAAUUACUGGGCGUAAAGCGUGCGCAGGCGGUUAUGUAAGACAGUUGUGAAAUCCCCGGGCUCAACCUGGGAACUGCAUCUGUGACUGCAUAGCUAGAGUACGGUAGAGGGGGAUGGAAUUCCGCGUGUAGCAGUGAAAUGCGUAGAUAUGCGGAGGAACACCGAUGGCGAAGGCAAUCCCCUGGACCUGUACUGACGCUGCCAUGCACGAAAAGCGUGGGGAGCAAACAGG
rnacentral:rRNA from 1 species